rnacentral:rRNA from 1 species
UACGUAGGUGGCAAGCGUUAUCCGGAUUUAUUGGGCGUAAAGGGAACGCAGGCGGUCUUUUAAGUCUGAUGUGAAAGCCUUCGGCUUAACCGGAGUAGUGCAUUGGAAACUGGGAGACUUGAGUGCAGAAGAGGAGAGUGGAACCCCAUGUGUAGCGGUGAAAUGCGUAGAUAUAUGGAAGAACACCAGUGGCGAAAGCGGCUCUCUGGUCUGUAACUGACGCUGAGGUUCGAAAGCGUGGGUAGCAAACAGG